rnacentral:rRNA from 1 species
AAAGAAACCAAACAGGGAUUGCCUCAGUAACGGCGAGUGAAGCGGCAAGAGCUCAAAUUUGAAAGCUGGCCCCCUCGGGGUCCGCGUUGUAAUUUGCAGAGGAUGCUUCGGGUGCAGCCCCCGUCUAAGUGCCCUGGAACGGGCCGUCAUAGAGGGUGAGAAUCCCGUCUGGGACGGGGUGUCUGCGUCCGUGUGAAGCUCCUUCGACGAGUCGAGUUGUUUGGGAAUGCAGCUCUAAAUGGGUGGUAAAUUUCAUCUAAAGCUAAAUACUGGCCGGAGACCGAUAGCGCACAAGUAGAGUGAUCGAAAGAUGAAAAGCACUUUGAAAAGAGAGUUAAACAGCACGUGAAAUUGUUGAAAGGGAAGCGUUUGCGACCAGACUCGCCCGCGGGGUUCAGCCGGCAUUCGUGCCGGUGUACUUCCCCGUGGGCGGGCCAGCGUCGGUUUGGGCGGCCGGUCAAAGGCCCUCGGAAUGUAUCACCUCUCGGGGUGUCUUAUAGCCGAGGGUGCAAUGCGGCCUGCCCGGACCGAGGAACGCGCUUCGGCUCGGACGCUGGCGUAAUGGUCGCAAAUGAC